AGUGAACGCUGGCGGUAGGCCUAACACAUGCAAGUCGAACGGCAGCACAGUAAGAGCUUGCUCUUACGGGUGGCGAGUGGCGGACGGGUGAGGAAUACAUCGGAAUCUACUUUUUCGUGGGGGAUAACGUAGGGAAAUUUACGCUAAUACCGCAUACGACCUACGGGUGAAAGCAGGGGAUCUUCGGACCUUGCGCGAUUGAAUGAGCCGAUGUCGGAUUAGCUAGUUGGCGGGGAAAAGGCCCACCAAGGCGACGAUCCGUAGCUGGUCUGAGAGGAUGAUCAGCCACACUGGAACUGAGACACGGUCCAGACUCCUACGGGAGGCAGCAGUGGGGAAUAUUGGACAAUGGGCGCAAGCCUGAUCCAGCCAUACCGCGUGGGUGAAGAAGGCCUUCGGGUUGUAAAGCCCUUUUGUUGGGAAAGAAAAGCAGCAGGUUAAUACCCCGCUGUUCUGACGGUACCCAAAGAAUAAGCACCGGCUAACUUCGUG
rnacentral:rRNA from 1 species